rnacentral:rRNA from 1 species
UACGUAGGGGGCAAGCGUUGUCCGGAUUUAUUGGGCGUAAAGAGCGUGUAGGCGGCCAUGCAGGUCCGUUGUGAAAACUCGAGGCUCAACCUCGAGAUGUCGGCGGAAACCACUUGGCUAGAGUCCGGAAGAGGAGAGUGGAAUUCCUGGUGUAGCGGUGAAAUGCGCAGAUAUCAGGAAGAACACCUAUGGCGAAGGCAGCUCUCUGGGACGGUACUGACGCUGAGGCGCGAAAGCGUGGGGAUCAAACAGG